rnacentral:rRNA from 1 species
AUCGGAUGUGCCCAGAUGGGAUUAGCUUGUUGGUGGGGUAACGGCUCACCAAGGCGACGAUCCCUAGCUGGUCUGAGAGGAUGACCAGCCACACUGGAACUGAGACACGGUCCAGACUCCUACGGGAGGCAGCAGUGGGGAAUAUUGCACAAUGGGCGCAAGCCUGAUGCAGCCAUGCCGCGUGUAUGAAGAAGGCCUUCGGGUUGUAAAGUACUUUCAGCGGGGAGGAAGGGAGUAAAGUUAAUACCUUUGCUCAUUGACGUUACCCGCAGAAGAAGCACCGGCUAACUCCGUGCCAGCAGCCGCGGUAAUACGGAGGGUGCAAGCGUUAAUCGGAAUUACUGGGCGUAAAGCGCACGCAGGCGGUUUGUUAAGUCAGAUGUGAAUCCCCGGGCUCAACCUGGGAACUGCAUCUGAUACUGGCAAGCUUGAGUCUCGUAGAGGGGGGUAGAAUUCCAGGUGUAGCGGUGAAAUGCGUAGAGAUCUGGAGGAAUA